rnacentral:rRNA from 1 species
CAUGCAGGCGGUUUAUUAAGCCAGAUGUGAAAGCCCCGGGCUUAACCUGGGAAUUGCAUUUGGAACUGGUAAACUAGAGUCUUGUAGAGGGGGGUAGAAUUUCAGGUGUAGCGGUGAAAUGCGUAGAGAUCUGAAGGAAUACCGGUGGCGAAGGCGGCCCCCUGGACAAAGACUGACGCUCAGAUGCGAAAGCGUGGGGAGCAAACA